rnacentral:rRNA from 1 species
UACGAAGGGUGCAAGCGUUACUCGGAAUUACUGGGCGUAAAGCGUGCGUAGGCGGUUCGUUAAGUCUGUCGUGAAAGCCCUGGGCUCAACCUGGGAAUUGCGAUGGAUACUGGCGAGCUAGAGUACGGUAGAGGAUGGUGGAAUUCCCGGUGUAGCGGUGAAAUGCGUAGAGAUCGGGAGGAACACCCGUGGCGAAGGCGGCCAUCUGGACUAGUACUGACGCUGAGGCACGAAAGCGUGGGGAGCAAACAGG